ACGGCCAAGAAAGUCCCUCAAUAUCUAGUUGCACAAUCUCAGCUACCUCUGAAAGAGGGAAGAGACACCGCUGAUAUCCUCCACCGACCACACAUCCAAAUUGGCUAGACAAUCAACAACCUGAUUUGCUACGGUGGACGUGGACAAACACAACUUGCCAUGGCCUUCGCAAAAGAACUCAAUACUGAAAAAGUGGUGAUACUCUUGACCGUUCUCCAGUUUGAUGUUAUAGCUUUAGUUACUACUGAAAGAAUAAUCUUUCCGACUAAGUUGGGUUAGCAACGGCAGCGAGAGGUUCAAAGAAGUUGAGCAACACAUUUCUGGAAGCUGUAUUGAGUAGGGUAUUGGAUCAAGUUUUUUCGGAUCUAGGGUUUGUUUUUUUAAAUUAUUUUCUUUAAUUGAGCUCUACUAUCAAUCUAUAUAUUAUAUUAGGAGUAUUCUGAUUAUCUUUAACAGAAAGUUGGAAUAAAUUUUAAAUAUUUCUUAGCUAAUAUACUUAAAUGAUGAUAUAGAAAGUUCUUCAAUAACUCAAAACACAGACAUAUCAUAACACCACAUCAUAGCAUAACAUCAUUGCAUGCUUACAGCUUAAACAACAAAUACAUAGAAAAUCUUUCAUUCACUAACAAUAAAGAAAAUAAAUGAUUUGCAAACUUCUACAAACACCACAUCAUCAAGUUUUCCUCAAUAUCUCAAGAACACAAGCUAACUGUAAGAGAGAGACAGAGACAGAUAAUUGAACAGUUAAAAAAAAUGAUCUCAGUAACACUACAACUAAACAAAUCUAUCCUACAACAUAAUACAUAACAAAUCGUAUCAAGUUUAGAAGAAUAAAAAAGGUCUUUGCAGUGAUGACAAUGGCACCGACAAUCGAAAUGAUAAUGCAGAUAUCUAAGUCUUAGCUGAUAUUUUUUGUUUUUGAAUUUCUUUUUUCUCACUAGUACUUAAAAAUGAAGUUUCUUGUGUUCAGUCCUACCUGCUGCUUUCUCCAUUGAUAACUUUUUCUGUGUGCACUUCUAAGUUUUUAAUGACAUUGGAUUCCACCCUUGGAGGACCAGAAUGCCUCCUUGGUCCGGCUGGGGAAGCAGGAAACAAAAGCCGCUUCUUUGCAGAUCCCACUGAUGACUUUUCCGGAGUCCCAUUCUUCUCUAUCCCCAAGGGGCUUGGUAACCGGGAUUUUGCCCUUGCUGAAUGUGUUGGUGCCAUGUAACUAG
rnacentral:lncRNA from 1 species